UGUCAGAAGUGGGAUUUGAACCCACGCCCUCUCUCGAAGACCAGAACUUGAGUCUGGCGCCUUAGACCACUCGGCCAUCCUGAC
rnacentral:tRNA from 1 species